rnacentral:rRNA from 1 species
AUCCCUACGGGAGGCAGCAGUGGGGAAUAUUGCACAAUGGGGGAAACCCUGAUGCAGCGACGCCGCGUGAAGGAAGAAGUAUUUCGGUAUGUAAACUUCUAUCAGCAGGGAAGAAAAUGACGGUACCUGACUAAGAAGCCCCGGCUAACUACGUGCCAGCAGCCGCGGUAAUACGUAGGGGGCAAGCGUUAUCCGGAUUUACUGGGUGUAAAGGGAGCGCAGGCGGCCUGCCAAGUCUGGGGUGAAAAC